rnacentral:rRNA from 1 species
CAAGUCAUCGCUCUGGCCCAUUUUAAGCUUUGGACUGGGCCGCAUUAGGUGUUGGAAUGGGAGAGGACGGGGCCUUUCUUUUCGAGAGAGGGGAGGGUUUUGGGGCAGGUGUAGAGGCCGCCUGUGGUAGGCGUAGGUUACCUCAGGAGGGAGGAGGAGAGGAGGCGGGCGGGGGAGUUCGGGAGGGAGCAGCGCGGGAGGAGGACGAGGAGGGUAGCCGCGACGCGGAGGAGGCCGGGCUUCGAAGACGGAGCCGCGGAGGGGAGGGACGGCGGCGCGCGGGCGGCCACCUCGCACCGCGGCGCCCGACGCGGGCUCCGCAAGCUGCCUUAAGUGUCGGUCCUGUUCGAGGGGCCCCAGCCUGCGCCCCCGCGCGCGGCCUCUCGGAUGGCGCUCCUCGUUCCCCUCGGGCAGCACGCGGGGAACCCACGCCCUCGCCCCCCGUAGUGAGCGAUGUAGCAGGGCCGACCCCGCAACGAGCGCGACUCGAAACAGUAAACCUUCCACCAACUCUUAAAGGAGGGGGAUUUCUCUUUCCUAGUCUUAAGACCUCUUGGAUGCAGAAGACCCCAGUGUACCAGGAAACGACGGCCGAGGUUAAACAGUUGUAGAUGUUCGUAAUUUCGGGUUUUCCUCAGCUUCUUUUUAGAUUUGUUCAAAAUAUUCCUUGAAGCCUGUGACUUUUGGCAAUUGUACCGUCCGGCAGUUAAGCCCCUACUCCCUGAUAAGAAAGAUCGUCUUUCGAAUCGGAUAUUGUUCUCACGACUUCUCCACCUGAAAAGCCCAUUACGCUAUUGUCGACGCCCUUAUCUUCGAAAGCUACCGUAAGAGGUCUAUUUGUGUCGAAACUUCUGAGAGUUAAAUAGACCUUUAUAGUAACCUCUACUUCCUCGAUUCUAUAUAACUAGCUUUUGCAUCCAUAAGUCUUCGAGAAGGACUUGUCAUGUUUAUAGCCUCUACUCCCCCGUUUUCGUUAAAGUCUAGACGACUUUUUCUUGUUUUGUUAUGCAUAACAUGUCGAAUCGUUGUUAUGUUAUCUUAUGUCACCAAAACGUUCAUAACGUCUACGUGAAGAACUCUUAUUAUGCGAUGCCUCAAACAUAGAGUUACCGUUGAUACCACCAGGAGAGCCACGUAGGUCGGAUCGUUUUCCUCAACAUCCCUUGUUUAGAGAGUCCCUUGAAGUAAAUGUACCAUUACCUAAACCCUUGCUCCCUAAUGCCCACAACUACAGACGUAAUAGACGAGUGUUUCCCUUCUAUUGUCAGAACCUAUAACCAUUGUUGUUGUAAUGUAGUCUUCCAAGAGAGAUACAUCGACUCAAGUAGUUUCACUGUUUCAGAGAUGCCACCGAGUCGGACAUGUACCUACUACAACCACUGCUCCCUCGACUUUUCCACCGUCUACGAGACUUUGUCUUGUUUUGUUAAAGAUGAUACCUGAAACCACCAUUAUUGUAAGUGAGAUCUCCCCAUUGACGUUAUCGACUUUGAGACUUCCUCUUACUUCACGACUGUUGUGACCUCAACUCAAUAUUAGGUUAACCUGGUCUCCCACAUUUCCGAAACACGCUACAAGAGUUCAAGUUGCCGUUUGAGGUUUGGGAAUUCGAACCAACCACGGUCUAUCCACACAGUCCACGUCUCAAGCAACGACUAACAAACUUCAUAUUGUGUUGUAACAGCUGUAACCUAAACGCCCGUUUACCUGAACCUCUACUACCACGAUAGACGAACCGCGCUUCAAACUUCUAUUAGUUACUUAGGAACUUUAGUGAACUGGAACCUAAAUUACUUUAAUCUCUACUACCUCGUAAACGUAACCGUGUUCGUGAGUUCCGGUUACUCCUAGAACGCCAGUGUAGUAAUUACGAGCGAUUGUUGAAGAAACCCUUUAAACCUGUCCAACGAGACUGGCUCCGUGCCCUAGUACAUAUGCUCUACUCACCUUUCCUUUAUCUGUAAAUAAUAAUCAUGUUUACCAAAGAGUAACGUGACAUCGACGAUAGGCUACCAAGUCGAACAGCCACCUACAAAGACGUAUCAACUGAUACAUUAACUCCGAAAACCCGUAAUGAGUUCAUCUAGUUUCCUUUACCCCCUUCUCGUACCAAAUACGAAACGAUAUGUUUAAAACCAUUUGAUGAACUGACAUCAAAUUAGUAAGUCGACAUAUAUACGUUUAAAAGUCUCCGUGAACGGUAAGAAUAUAACCAACAUUACCUGGUAUAGGAAGUAAAGUCCAUACCUAAACCGAUUAAUCACUGCUGAAAACGGUCGAAAAAAAGAAAUCAGACCAACAGUAAACAGUAUGUAUAUAUUGAAUAAAUAAAAACUUAUUAUGCUAGUGAUGUAUUAUUCAUCUCAGUAGCAGUUCGGGCUACUAAAACAAUACCCCAGUAGACCCCUUUUGCAAAGACGAGCACAUUCACAUAUGUGGGUAAGAGAUCUGGUAAGACACAACGUAAAUGUAAGUUGGGGUGUUAAAGGUGACGUACUGGUACGUUUCAAAGUACACCAUGUAAAGUUUAAAGUAAUGGUAGGUACGACUUACCCUAAGUGACUCGAGUAGAUGACAAUACAACACUACCUUUGAUAUUAUUGGACCGUGAAACACAACCCGUAAGGGACGUAAAUACGUAAAAAAAGACAAUCCCCACCCAUCUAUUUACUACUCCGUUAUAGUGAACCUGUGAAGUGAACGUCACUGUAAUUGAAAAAUAAUGACAAAGCCAAAAUAUCCUCUAUACCUCAUUUUACCGUAAAAACGGGAACCUUGGCUUGAUCCUAGUGACAACCAGCACCUACAUUUUGAUAAAAACAAAAUCUUGUCUCUCCUGUCCUAUAGCAAAAACAGGUACCCUGUUUGAUUCGUGUAUCCAGUAACGAAGGUGCAUGCAACAAAGGUACGAUGGAUUCUUGUCUGCGUAUUAGAUUUUCAAGAACUAAAAAAACUGUUGGAACUAUGCACUACGUAGACGGUACCGUGUGUUUAAGUUCUGGCCGAAAAUAAGUGUCGAACCACUUUUUUCUUAUCCAUUUAGACUGACAUCUAUCAUGUGUUAAACUCAUCAUAUAGAAACCAUGAUAAGUGUAAGACUAAACAGUAAAAAGAACAAAGAACUAGCUAGGUGGAGAAGCAGUUUACGGCAAAGUGGUAGUCCGAAACCUUGUACCAGUAACGUUCUAUACCCGAACACGUGUACCUAUGGUGGCAAACCGUAGAAGUGCUCAGCUAACCACCCUAUCCUCUUGGCUGUACUGUUUAGGAUUGUCCUCUCGAUACCGGAGGGAGUGGUACGAUCACAGCAGCUGAUAUACCUUGCUCGUAUUACGAUCCUAGAAGUCCGUGUUCUCGCGCGGCGGGGACUAGGAGGAAUUUUAUCAAUGGCUACUCCGAUCGGAGACCCAAUGACGGCCACGAUUCUUUGAACCCUUUUAACAUAAUUCGUUCAUUAACGGUACGGCACACCCCACUCCAUGACAUGGCUGAAUUUGAGAUAAGAGGAGAGUAAAUUAUCUACUCCGUUUAGAAAACGGAGACAAAACUUUUUUUUCAAAACUUUGCUUUACAAACCUGUUACCUCAUCUGAAGAAAAACUCUCUACCCG